rnacentral:misc_RNA from 1 species
GGCAUUAUUUCUUGUAUGUGUGUGUAGGUGUCGGGCGCACGCCACCAGCCCCUCCGGCUCCACCACCGAUAAAAAGACCAAAACAUUGGGCUUCUAGCUCCUACUCUCAAGAGCGUGCCAUCGCGCUUCACGUUUCGCCUACCCUCUGUCUUCCUCAUCUCAACUGCCGCCUCGCCUCUCUUCUGCCUCCCCUCAUUUUUGUAACCGCUUUCCGUUCUCUCUCACGAGCCUUUGCUGCCUUCGAUGUGAGGCAGGUGCCUUCAUCAUCUUUUUUUUCUUUCUAUUCUCUCUUGCUGGUGUUGGUCUCAACACUGGUCGGUCUCGCUGUUGUGCAAGGGAUGCCCAAGAGCACAUCCGUCCUAUCUAGUUGUUUACCUGUAUCCGUGUCGCUUGCGGCUCCUCUUGGUGUAUCUGCGCGUGCGGCAGUCCCAACUUUCUGCGCGCUCGGAUCCCCCCCUCCCAACACACAUCCAUCAGCCGAUUACGUGACGUGGUUGACGAUAUCGCUCUUCCGACCCCCUGCCUCUUUUUCCAAAUCACGCCCUCCUUCCCCCAAAUCGGUUGGGCGUGGCUCUCUCGCGUAUUCUCAUCUUGUUCCCCUCAUCGGUAGCACUGACACUCUUUUGUUGUUGUUGUACGCGUUCUUUGCCGUUCUCUCUGCGUGCCUAUGCAAAUUUUGUUUUAUACGGUUUCACUGUUAUUGUCGGGGUUUUCUGUGUGUCUGUGUGUGUGUACUGCGUUCUGCACCAUCGUAUCGUCGCUUCGCUUCUGGCACUCCCCCAUCCGGACACGUCUGCCGGUGUUUGUGCCUUUCUUCGUCUCUCUGGAUACGUUAGCGUGUGUACCUCUGCACACGCACCCUUGCCGACGUCCUAGGUCUUGUGUUGUUUUCUUCUUUGCGAUUUGUUUUCUCGGCACAGAGCUCUUUCUCGGCGUGCCGAACGACUUCAUUUCCCAUCUCUUUCAUCUCUCUCUGCGCGGUAAAGAUUUUUUCCCUUUAUAGGUGGAAGGGGGGGGAAGGGAAGAGGGGGUAGGAGAGUCGUGCAUCAGAGUCUUGUGCGUGAGUGCCAUUUUGGUGUGCCGACGUGCAUGACUAGGCGGCUGCGCGUAAGGCGGCUGCGACUUGCUUUGUUUCGAGUUUUCUCAUUUGCUCCUGUUACGUUGUCUAGAGCGUGCGUCUUGAGGUCCUGGUCGAGAGACGUGGCUGCAGCCGCCUGCCAUCCACUGUGCCUGUGCUCGGCUGCGCGUUGAGGCAUCAAGUCCCCUGCGCUGCACCGCGUCGCUUGACCCUCUUGUAGAUAUUUGUUUGCAUGCAGGGGUAUCUGUACGCCGUAUGUGGGCUGCCGCAGCGACGAAGAACUCCCAACACGUAUGCUUGUCGACACUUCGUCUUGCUUUCGCUCUUCUUAUGUGCGUGUGUGAUCGCCAAGGAGACUUGAAUCGAACAACAAUGGCAGCUUCAGGGCUUAACCAUGCGGCACCCCGCCGACGGCCUGGGUCGUGUCCGCCCUCCACGCGGCAGCUCCACUGCAUCGAGACGCUGUACGCGACUCACAGACAUGUGCCAUCCCCGCACUACUGCUUCGACCCUGAUGCGCUUCUGGCGAAGUCCAUCCAGCAGCAACUCGAGCGCCUGUACAGAGGCCCGAACGCCGACGCCAGUCCACGCCAACGGCCGAGCAGUGCAUCGCAGCCACACCGCGGCAGAUCGACGAACAGCAAGCAGCAUGGAAGCGGUAGUCAAGCGCGGCUGAGCUUGACACAGUCCACUCCCGGUGCGAAGCGGGGCGAGUCCUCGUUCUCUCUCUCACGGCGGUCAACGCCUUGCUCAAAGCGCCUCGUGGCGUCGCUGUCUUCUCCCCAGCCGCAGCGUCCGCACGGAACUACAGCGGCGGCAAUCUCGCUCCUGACUUCAACUCUUCCUGAACCGUCGCAGCCCCCCGCAUGGUGUAGGCAGCGCGGCAAAGAGGAGAUCAUCGAAAACGAACUUGAGCCGGUGCCGAACCUCAUCGGACUCAGCGACUACUUUAUGAAGCGCCCUCAUUUCGUCUACCGGCCCCACUCCACGGGUGGCGGCGAGGCAAGCACAUCCACUGCAGACCUGUACAGCGGCUGGCAUGAUCUCGACGGCGCGAGAUGUCACUCCCGCACCCGAGUGACACCGCAGUUGUCACGCUCGUCCAGUUCGACGACGCCAGGCCUCCCAAACAGCUCUAGUAUUCGCCGCCCCACACUUCAGUUGGGUGUUCUUCCGAGCUCCGUCGUGCGCAGGUGUCGGCAGGAUUUUCCGGCCAGCCGAAGCCGUCCCAGCGCAUGAUACUUCUGCACCAGCGGCGGACCACAGUCGCGGGGUGAACGGCGCACCAUUGCCUCCUGGCGAGGCGGCGAUUGGCGUACACGCAAGCGAGCCAUCAUCAAGCAGCAGGCACAGCGCGUCCACCUUCUUCCUAGACAGCGAAGAGGUUUUCUUCGACGAGGAUCCGCUCGCGACGCAGCUGCUGCAGGGACCAGAGGCUGCGAAGUGUCCUGCAACAAUGCAUGCGCCCGCCUCCGAACAGGCAGCACGAGAGCAUGAGAGGGCCGACGACCCGGCGGCGCUGGAGCCGCUCGUCGUGGAGAGUCUCUCGUCCUCCGCUGCGCAGCAUGCACUGUUGCCGCGCGCACCCGAGACCCCAUCCGACCCUGUGGCUUCCUUCAGCUCGUUUUCCACAGAUCCGGCAUCAUCCGCCGCUGCCGGGCAGCCUGCCGCACCAGCGACACCAAAACCACCUUCAAGGAGUACACUCUUUCUCCGCAAGCGAUCGCCCAGUCCCUGGCACCGCUGCCGCACCAUCGACAACUUGCUUCAGAAGCUGCUGCGUCUUCGUGUCCAGUAUGAGCGCGUGAGGCAUCAGGGGCAUGGCCCGUGCGGUGUCUGCGACAAGAGCUUCCUGGAACCGCCACUGUAUGCGCGCAGCAAGAGUGCUGCGACACAGGGGAAAUGCUUCUCGUCCCUCUCUACCUUUGCUGGGACUGUGCGCUCACACAGUCGCCGUGGCCGCACCCAGCAGCAGGGACGGCAGCCGCACGCUCGACCAGUUUCACGCGGUUCGCAGCGCAGCGGUCUUUGCAGUGGCUGCGGGCACUCAGCACCCCACAUUCGCAGCGCUGUCGACGUCGGUAACGGGGAUCAAGAUGCUAGCCUUCAUCUUUUCCGCGGCUUCCGUCGCUGCGAAUGCUGCGAGGUCUUACUACCACAUGACACAGUUGUGCCGGUGCCGCCGACUGUACCACGGAAUGGCGCCUCAUUGACACCGCGUCGGGGUCGACGGGGGCCAUCUUCGGUGGCUUCGCCAGCUGCGCCACCGCGUCAGCGCUCGACACGCAUGUCCGAUCCAUUCGCGGCAGCUCGGCCGAUGCCAUCCUACUAUUGCCCGUGCCACAGCGAAACGGCUUCGCACCGCCGGCCCUCAGCGCGCCGUAGUGAGAGGGAGACAGGUGCCGUGAAGGCGUGAGGGACGAAGCGGGAGCACGGGCAGCGCUUGAUCUGGACGCGAAAGACCACUUGCUUCUCAAGCUCCUGCGCCGCAUAGGGAAGGACAUCCGUGCGGGGCAGAAGGGAUCGGAAGCGUCAACCGCAGAAGAUACGGCAAGCCGCACCACCUCCGGCGCAACCGACCGAGGCGUCGAGGCCUUGCUGCGAGCAUUGCGGGAGGAGGUGCACAUGGACGAUGCGACCUACGCGGAGCUGCUGCGCGAGCUUCAUGGAAGUGCCUGAGCCCAGUCGCUGGGUCAUCCGCUGCUUCUUCGGCGGAGCCGACACACACGGUUGUACUCUUUCCGCACAGCAUGCCGCACCCCCCGUUUGCACCGUCGCAUCAUACCACAGGAUGCUGCGAUGCGGCAGUGGCGACGAUGGCAUCGCCACCUUCGCCGCCAGAGGUGAACGCGGAGAACAACCACGCAGACGGUAGAGCACGUGGUGCGCCUCUGCAAGCAUACGAGGAGAACUUGCCGUCAGCCCCUGCCGCUGUCCUCGAACCUCUCCACGCCGGUGAGGGAGCUCCCUGCUCGCAACGCUUUUCGUCAAUCUCGAGCAUCAAGCUGAGAAGUGACAGCUGCGUCCGCGGUCUCGCUGCGCCUGCUUUGACUUCGCACGAGGAGACUGACGCGUCUGCGCCUGGGCCCGUAGCCGAGCUGCACCCCGCCACCGCCACGAUUCCCGCCGCUUUGGGCUCCGUCUUUGACGAUCUCGUGCACAAAUCCGUUCAGCACAGUCAGCUGCGCAUUAUCGACGAGCUGGAGGGGGCUCUGCGGGCGCGUCUCGGCAAGGAUGAGGAGGACGCGCGGUGGGAGGUGUGUCGCUGGGGAGUGAACGAGGAGGAAGUGCUGCGGCGCCGGGCACUUGCGUUGGAGGAAGCGGUGAAGGGGGUAGAUCUUGUGCGGCAGUGCCGCUACCUGCGUGCUCGCAUUCUCGUCGCUGAAACGGAGCUGAAAGAGUAGAGGGCGACACUGACGGCAGAGGAUCACGCGCGCGAGCGCUUAACAGAGAGAACACGGGCCUCGCGGCGGCUGUGGAGGGCCCACAAAGAGGGUUCGCCGAGCUCUGUAUUCUGGAGGAGCGUGGUCGUUGCGGCAACUUGUGGGCAGAGCUGCUCAUACACCAGGAGCUGCUGGUGAGCUUGUGCAGCGACGCCGGGGAGCGCGCCAGGGCCGAAAUUGAGUUUGAAGAGCAGUUGAAGCGGACUAACUGGAUACAGGUAGUUAUCGUGUGUGCUUUCUGGCGCAGACUCAUGCGGCAAGGGACACAACGCCUAUAAAAGUGAACUGGGCUGAGUGGGGCGGCGGCGUCAUUGGGGACAUGCCGUUCGCGCCACCGUUAACGGGUGAACAGCUGUCAGCCCCAACAGGGGAUGCGCCGACGAAGACCUCUGUGACAGGGGACGCCCCUGAGUCCGUGGCGGCGUCUCCACUGGACACCGGCCUGUCCGUCGAGAAGGAUGUUGUCGAGGCUGCUGCACCGCCGGCUGAAGACGAGUCUGUGGCUGACGAGCACGCUCGCGGCGAGGACGGCAUACAUCUGCUACCGUUCCCUUCCUUCGUCGUCGACGGCAACGUACCCAGGAUCAUCCCGCCGAGGUCGAAGUUGCCGUUCAUCUGGGGCACCUUCAGCGGCCCUGGAGCUACUCGGCAACGGUGCUGGUGUUCCGAACGAGCUUCGUGACUGGGAUGAAGAGCAGCAACCGCAGAGCGUCGCACGACACUGUGGUGCGGUGCUGACGGUGCCUGAGCAUGUUGAUGGCAUACCAAUACGUAUGGAAGGCGAGCUGGAGAACGUCAGCUCCAGGGAGCCCUUGCCUCACUCGCAGACGUGGCGCCGUUGCCGAGGGAGGCGUCAUCGCCGGCAGCCAAAGGCAGGGCGGUCGAUGCCAUGUCGGAUGUGCAGCCCCAUUCCGCGGCACCACCAGCGUUUUCUGCCUCUGAGCCGAAGAGUAGCCAUAAUCUGCAGAGGCCUGUGAUGGCACUGCCGGAAGAUGGCGAACUGUUGCCGUCGGCGAACACACCAAGUGCCUGAGGUGGAGAACAAGCCUGUGACCCCUCUCGAAGAGACGGCCGAGGUCGAGUCAGCGGCUGCGGCUGAGAAUGCGUCUGGGGGCACUUCUAGCAGCGAGGGCGAGGCUGCGGAGGAGCCGACAGCACUGCAAAGCACAGCGACCACCACAGCAGCCCUAGACGCCACGCAGCGGCCCUCUGCCACACUCCGUAGUGCAGCUGGCGCUGCAGUCACGGCGACACUUCGCUCUUGUGAAACCCCUUAAGAGAGCGCGCCAUUCCAGUGACGCCUCUGGAGGCCGGCGCCAACGGAGCUAGCGCACCGGCGCGGACCGCGUCCGCAAGUCAAAGGCAGAGUCUCAGCACCCCGCCGGAUGCCACAGUAGAGUAUGUGCAGCGGAGGAGCCUCACCACUAAGGCGGCGGACACUCAGGAGACUGUGGCACUGACUGCUGCAUCGUCAGUGCGUCUGGCGAAGAGGCGAGCCGGCAUGCUGCAGAGCACCAUCAUGGAGGUUUGAUGACCGCCAUCGAACCGGAUGAGGAUGGCGAACUCGUGGAGGGCGAAGUGAGUCAGGGGCUCAUUGCACUUACUACCCCUGCUGCGACUACUGCUGCCGCCGGCAUGGUGAGGUUUCAGGAGAAAUGUUCGGCUGACGAGCCGCACUCGAAGGUGCAUCCACAGGACGUUCCGCCCCGCUGCCUCGGCCCGCUAGCACAAGUGCAGAGAUGAGCACAUCGAAGGACGGCCCUCGAUCGAUGUCCAUGCAGCCUACGGAAAGGUCCAAGGGGAGGGGGGACAGCUGCAAGCGCCGUCCGUGAUGGAGAGCGGGGCGGACUAUGCUUUGCAGCGGUUGCCGCCUCCGCAGCUCAGCGCGGGCAACGCAGCCGAUGCUGAAAUCCGGCAGCCAGCACAGCAGCCACACAGCAGCGUAGCGAGUGCCGAGGACUCGCAUGCCUCCCCACCUGUUUCUGCGCAGCUGCAACAAACCAGUGCGCAGACCGAAAGGUCUGUUUCGAUGCUCGGCGAAGAUCACAUGACCGAUUUUGCCGAAUCCCCAACGGACAGCCGGCACUUCAUGAGCCCUCUCGUUACCCGAAGCGAGAAGGACUCUCCGAAUGUAGUGAAUGCGGAGGUCAACCUCGAGGUGGAAGAGGACGAGGGCGAUGAACGGGCGGAUUACGGCACGUAUGGGACACAGCAACUGUUUAAGCAUGUGGUGUCGCCGCCGGCGCUGCGCCACUGUUCCACGCCGGCUUUCUUCUCAUCCCUCGUCAGUACACACCUGCUAGAGCCGACCACCGAGGAGGAUGGGAAGGCGCCAGAUGUCGACGGUGCCAGGGACGACCACAGCCGCGUAAGGGAUGAGGAUGCAUCAUAUGAGCCCGGUGGUGACAGGGAUGUGGCAGAGGAGGGAGCUCCGCGGAAGCGCGUGGAGGUGGAGAAGUGCGAAGACGCCACGAAUGUUCUGCUCUUGCACGGCGUGCACCCACCCCACUGCCGAGGUGGACCACGCCGGAGACGCGGUGAGUGAGGAGCUGUUGUGUUCAGUCGUGCACACAGCGUGUUUUACCGACACCGAGUGUGGCGGCGCCGACAGUGGGCGUCACGAUGAAGCCAGUGUCCCAUCUGAAGGCAGCUUGCACCGCAGCCUUGCGUCGCCAUGCACGGAGUGCGAGAACAGCGCGCAGACCAGUUCGAGUACCGCAGGCAAGGGGCAGCUGAAAUACGACAGGAGCCUCGACAGCGACGUUCUCACGCCUGUGGCGCGUGGACUGCGGCAGCAGUGCUGGGAGGAAAACAGUGCGGCUGCGAGGCUGUACAAGGAAAGGGCGGAGGAGGAGCACCAGCUGCCGGCUCCCCACAUUCUGAGUUUGUGUGGAGUGUCUUGGCCCAUCAGCUGCAGAAGCGGGACGUCAAUGCCAAAACAGCCGCGGAGGCCCCCGGCACUACUGGGACCCCUUGCGGAGGUGCGGCAGGCAAGGGUACAGAGUGGAGGCGCCGCGGCGGCGAGCACUACGCGGACUGCUCCCGGGAAGCUAGCAGCAGAGGUGGCUUCCGGGACGACGGACGCGCCUCCUGGAGCACCGAGGACUCGCAGCCCAACAGCGUCCCUCUCACGAGGGAGCAUGACACCAUGCAGCACGGGUCCUUCAUUCCGCAGCGCUGGCCACUGCCCUGCGAUGAAGUCACACGAUCGUCACCUGCGCAGAACCCAGUGCCGGAACGGACGGUCAGGUCAGCAUCGGCACCACAGGCUUCUGCGUCUUCCGAGCGCCUUUGCUGCAUUGAAGGAGAUGAGUGGAGCUGCAGCGGCGGUUCUUCGUAUCAUGUUAGUGGACUGCCCGUUCGAGCUCCAUCUCCGCAUCCGAAAGCGCUUCAGUGUGGCGGCGGUGGCGGCUCCCGCUACUCGUUUCUCUCGACAGACACGUGCAACGAGGAACGCAGCCUAGAGAUAACACCUGACCUAAACGCUACACGGUAAGGACGGACAUUCUGAAGUCCCCGCUCCUCAGCCACGAGCUCAGCCGAGCGCCUCUCCGCGUCGGUAUCCCAGUGCAUAUUGCAGACUCCUCAACGGAGGAGGCGCAGUCGAACACGUGAAGGCUCCAGGCUGUCGCGGGUGUCGCCUUUUGGGGCGAAUCCGUGAGGAGGGAGGUGUGUGUGUGUGUGUGUGUGCAUGUAUGUGUGAUGUGCAUCCGUCUCAACCAGCACUCUCCCUCCCUCUUCCGAGCGCCACGUCGGCAUCUCCUACAACUCGACCUGACGCCGCAAUGUAGCAUGCGACAGCGCUGACUUCCAUGCGCAUUGCUGUCGUGGGUGUGCGUGUCUGUUUGCCUCACCGUUGCGCGAGAUCUGACAUUCAUCCGUCAGACACACGAACACCAUUCUCACUGCUUUCAAGACGCGCACCGGCCCGGCCCCCGCCCGCCCCGCUUCGUCGUCUCGCUUUCUCCUUGGCGCAUAUACUCUCUGCCUUUCCUCUCUCUUUGGGCGACACACGCCCUUCAGGGAAGAGUGGCAGGGGCCGGCACAAUCCACCUCCACAAUGGCGACCCGGAAAAGAGAGAAACAAGGAAGACUGUUGUGGCACCCAUUCUCUGUCUGUCUGUCUGUUGCACCUUGCACAGUCU